rnacentral:rRNA from 1 species
AUUUACUUUUUAUCACUUAAUCAAGAAUAUUUAACCUAACAAUCGUAAGUUAAAGAUUGAUAAUGAAAACAUGUUAACUAAUCCACAGAAAACAUUCAUCCCAAAAAUAAAAAAGAAGUGGUAGUAGCGGCGAGCGAACACACAAAUCACACUCUAAUUUUAGGAUUUAUCAAAAUCUUGUGCUAAAAAAUGUAAAAUUAAUAACGGUAGUACUAUGAAGGAAAGACUAUAUUAUAUCAAUUCUCUGAAUGAACUGUUGUAAUUCAACGUACCUUUUGUAUAAUGGACCUGCAAGAAAAAAUUUGGUUAACCCACGUCCAUAGAAGUAAUUCAGAAUCAACUUCUCCCGAAACUAAGUGGUCAAUUCCAGAAUAGCAGAAAGUGCGAACCGAUAACUGUUUCAAAAGUUUCGGAUAAUUUUGGAAUAGAGGUUAAAUACUAAUCGAACUUAGAAAUAGCUGGUUUUCUACGAAAUCUUUGUAAGAAGAAAUAGUGCAAAUUAGAACUAAAUUAACCACAACAAACUUGGUUCCAUAAUACUCUAUUUACAGACCAUUAAUGACAAGAUUAAUUGUCCACUGAGAAACAGCUCACAACAAAAGCUAAAGACACCAAUAAAAUAAGUGCAACAUAAUAUAAGGUGUAGAUAAGAAAUAAGUGGGCUUGGAAGCAGCCAUCUUAUUGACAACGCGUAAUAGCGGCUUUCAAAAAUAUAUCUAUUAAUAAUAAUGGUGACUAAAUACUCCCUUAAGCUUUGUGUUGGUAGUAGAACAGACUAUAAUAAUAGUGGAGAUAAUGCAGGUAUUAAUAAUAAUAAAUUUAAGGUUUUACUUAUGAAACAGCCCCUUAAUAAUUGAAGGGAUGAACACUAAAACACAUUUAAAAAAUCAGUUAAAUAAAACUGUACUGUCUAACCAAAGAGAAUAACUACAAAAAUUUACUUAUUAAUAAGGAACUCGGCAAAUUUAUUUAACUAAUAAUUUACUAGGAUCGACUGUUUACCAAAAACAUAGCCUUAUUGAACUAAUAUAAGGUGAAGCCUGCUCAAUGGCUACAAAUAAAAAAUAAUAGUAGUUAAAUAGCCGCGGUAACUCUGACCGUGAUAAAGUAGCAUAAUCACUCGUCAUUUAAUUGAUGACUGGAAUGAACGGCUUUACGAAUCCUCAACUGUCUCGUUAAUAAAAUUAAUAAAUUUGAAUUAAUAGUGAAGAUACUAUUUACAAAUUGUAAGACGAAAAGACCCUAUUGAGCUUUACUAGAUACCUAAAUACUAAAAAUUUUACCGCGAACUAACAAUAUUUAGGAUAAAUAGUUUGGUUGGGGCGACCACCUCUAAAAUAGUAUCAGAGGAAAUCUUAAGGUGAUAAACAAUAUUAAUUAGCCUAACUGUCUAUUUACUAAUUAACCAGUUACUAUAUGUAGGAUAUAAUGACCCGUUGAAAGAAUUUUAGACAUCAACGACCAUGAAAAAAGUUACCAUAGGGAUAACAGGGUAAUAUUUCUGAAGAGUUCUCAUCGAUAGAAAUGUUUGCCACCUCGAUGUUGAAUUGUGAUAUCCUAAAGGUGUAGCAGCUUUUAAGGGUUGGUCUGUUCGACCAUUAAAAUCAUACAUGAUUUGAGUUCAUUCCGUCGUAAGACAGGAAGGUUUCUAUCUACAAUUAUGGAUCACUUGUAAACUUUAGUACGAAAGGAAUUAGAUUUACUAUUUUUAAAAUAAUUUCACUUAAUCUGACCUCUUAUAAGAUUAAUAAGCAAAAUCCAACAAUUAUAUAC